rnacentral:rRNA from 1 species
UACAGAGGUCUCAAGCGUUGUUCGGAAUCACUGGGCGUAAAGCGUGCGUAGGCUGUCUCGUAAGUCGUGUGUGAAAGGCGCGGGCUCAACCCGCGGACGGCACAUGAUACUGCGAGACUAGAGUAAUGGAGGGGGAACCGGAAUUCUCGGUGUAGCAGUGAAAUGCGUAGAUAUCGAGAGGAACACUCGUGGCGAAGGCGGGUUCCUGGACAUUAACUGACGCUGAGGCACGAAGGCCAGGGGAGCGAAAGGG